UUGAUCGAUUGACAAGCGGUGGAUGCAUCAGAUGCUGGGCUUGACGACAGGCUUUGGAAUGGAAACGACCCCUUAAGCCUUUUUAAGCCCAUCUGCUCAAUCAUGCACAUCGCGUGAUUUCUCGGAAACAUGGAAAGCUUUUGAGUCACUGCCAAUGCUAUGCUGUGUUCAUUGAAAAGUCAUCUCUCCAUUCAAAUUUCUGAAUCGUAAAGAUAAGCUUGCUGUUGGCUGGGUGUAUUUUCGAGUUUUUUUGCUCAGUUUCUGAAGAGGGAAAGACCAAGUUUGAAUACACAAGGAUAUACAAAGCAGCAGCAUUUGUUUAUCGUAACGAUGAAAGCAUUUAAACUUUCGAACCUUUUACGUAGUGAUUCAGUGCCUCCCAGCACUUUGAUUCUCGACUCCUUUGCCAGGAUUCCCUGAAGUGGUUGGAGGCUAAAUUCACCUCAAGAUAUCUCAUUCUGUGGAUAUUAUGUCCUCUGAUUGUUAUACAUUUUCUCGCGAAUAAGCUAAGUUCAGCUAAAGUUAUGUUGCUUGAUAUAUCAUCUGCCAUGCUAAUACCUGUUAAGUUUGCCUAUUCACAUUUUCUUAUCUACCAGAUAACUUGUUGUUAAGGAAAUUAAAGUGUAAAGGAUUAA